rnacentral:tRNA from 1 species
GAGGUUGUAGCUUAGUGGUAGAGUACUUGUAGCAUGCAUGAAGCCCUGGGUUCCAUCCCCAGCACCACCA